rnacentral:lncRNA from 1 species
GUUCACACCGUCGAGAGGUAUUAACAGUACCACAUACACUCCCAUGGUUAUCAUUCUCUAUACUCCCUCGGUCCUAUCCCAGGUAGCCCGAAUUAAAGUUGCCCUUGUCGGGACCGGUAAUUAGGAUUGUACUUCAACCGCGGAUCCUACUAGUUGAGUCCAGCAGCCCCGACUUGGUGUUUAGCUACUCCGCACCGAACAUAUCCUCGUCCUCUGAGUCCUUCGGUCUGGCCAUGUUUUCCUUGAUGAACG